rnacentral:tRNA from 1 species
GUUUAAAUAAAACAUUGGUCUUGUAAACCAAAAAAAAGUUGUACUUUUAAAACUUCAAAGGAA